AAAAACUUAGGUUAAAUAAACCAAGAGCCUUCAAAGCCCUAAAUAAGGACACUCACUUCCUUAGUUUUUG
rnacentral:tRNA from 2 species